UACGGAGGGUGCAAGCGUUGUCCGGAUUUAUUGGGUUUAAAGGGUGCGUAGGCGGCCCUGUAAGUCAGUGGUGAAAUACUGCAGCUUAACUGUAGCAUUGCCAUUGAUACUGUAGGGCUUGAGUACAGAUGAGGUAGGCGGAAUUGAUGGUGUAGCGGUGAAAUGCAUAGAUACUAUCAAGAACACCGAUUGCGAAGGCAGCUUACUAAGCUGUAACUGACGCUGAGGCACGAAAGCGUGGGGAUCGAACAGG
rnacentral:rRNA from 1 species